AUCCAGCUGGCUGGCCUCCUUUACAGGUACCUACAAGCUCAUAAAACCAUAUUGUAAUUUUGCUUUACGGGUUGUGUGCCUACACCCUACCUCCAGCCUCAACCUUCUUUACAGCUUGGCUGAUUUGAUUUGAUGCACGCCCAAGUUUUUGCUUAUAAAUUGAACCCUUUGAUGGAAGCGAAGAAGAAGUUGCAGACACAUAACAAUCUGGAAAUUGGCUCUUUUUUACUUAUGCUCAACGAAUAUGUGUGUAUUCUACAUAGUUUUAGGUCUUGUGUUAAUAAACAAAAAAAUUGAAUCUUCCAAUUUUUUGGGCAAUUGUGAGUCUGUGACAUAUGAUGAUUCAAAGAACUUGAGGAACAUUAUCUGGCUGGCUCCAUUACCUGGUGAAUUUGCUAAAUCUCACAAUGUGUGGCUGUUGUAGGGUGAUCAAGUUCUUUUUCAUCCAGCAAAAGUAUUUCUUCCAACAAUCCACAAGAGAACAAGUCUUUGAUGAUUUGAAGUCUGGAUCUGAUUUUGAAAUUCCAGUUUCAAAGGAGAGUGGCUUGGCUGAAGUUUAGUUUCCUUUAUUCCUUCAUCAUCGUAGGUUUGUUUCUCAACUAAUGUGGUGAUAAUUCAAUCAAGCAUUCAAUGGAAGGACAACCUCAUGAAUUUGGAAAUCUGACUUCAUCGCAUCCAUGAGCAUAACCAUCACCAUCACCAUCAUUGUUGCAUUUGAAGGCCAUUUAUGCCAGAGAUGUUGGUGUUAGUUUUGGUUAAUCUGAGCAUUUGUUGCACCUUACUCUAAGUAUUGAGGUUGAACCUCUUUUUGGGACUCUGUCUUAAGGGGAUCAUUAAGUGGAAAUAGAAACAAUCAAUUGCAUUUGCUGAUCAGAACAUUGGAAGCAAACAGUAGUAACUGGUAUGGGAUCAAACUUUCUCUUCCAACCCAAUUUUUUCAAAAUCUGAAUGGAUUAUUUCAAUUUCAUUUGUGGUAAUAAAAGUAAUUACAGUUGUUGGUAACUUCAGCAGAUUGUUGUUGGAAACCAACCACUUACCAUCUGUGGAGAGAAAAAGGAGAAAAUGAAGAAAAAUCAAGUUUUUGAACUGUAUUUAGUAACUUUCGAAUUGUGUUAUUUCAAAGGAUAGAAAGGAUGUGCUAAGAGUUUAUUUAGGACAAAUGAGUAGAUAUGUUGAUACAAAGCCUGAAAACAAGAAUGGACAUGUAAAGGAACAACACUGAGGGAUGGAGAAAACAUUAGGCACUUACUUUUGAGGAACUUUUCUUUUAAAAAAAUUCUUUACAUGUGCACUUUAUAGUUUCUAUAAAUUUAUCCUUUAAAUUCUA